UGUACGGAUGUUCAGUGUAAUGAUGGUACUGAGAGAUUCAGAGACAGACUGAAGCUGGACAAUGAGACUGGAUCUCUGACCAUCAUGAACAUCAGAGAACUGGACUCUGGACUUUAUCGUCUACGGAUCAUCAGUAGCAGCAGCAUGAAUGAAAAUGUCUUCAUUGUUGCUGUAUAUGGUGUUUCUGCUGCUGAACGAGAUAAAAUGAA